rnacentral:rRNA from 1 species
CGCCUACAAUCAGUCGGAGCUCCCUUGUGGAGUGACGGCGUACCUUUUGUAUAAUGGGUCAUCGACUUGGUCUAUCUAGCAAGCUUAAGCCGUUAGGUGUAGGCGCAGCGAAAGCGAGUCUUAAUAGGGCGCAUGAGUUAGAUGGAUCAGACCCGAAACCGAGUGAUCUAGGCAUGACCAGGUUGAAGGUUAGGUAACACUAACUGGAGGACCGAA